CCUCUCUCUCCAAUUUAUGUCUGGCAAGUGAGAUGCUGGCAAGGACAGUUCUGGCUGGCCUUGCCUAAGAGGGGAAAGCUGCAACAUGAAAAGUUUCUGCCUUUUACUUCUGGUGUAGAAAAUGGAAAUACAUUAUGAUGGGUACUUAGAGAUUGUGGCAUAUAUACUUAUCCUGGAAACCACAAUUUUUAUAUUUCAUUUUAUUCCAGGAGGAAGCAAAGGUGUGAGAACUGUAAAUGAUGCCAUGCUAAUAAUCCCAGCCAGCCUCUGCAGCAGUUGAUGCCAUUUCAAGGCACAUUUUACUCUUUAGCCCUGAUCACUGUCUUGUGCUGCCAAUUGUUUCAUUAUUUUUAAGCAGUUUGCUUACUAACCACGCACUGAGGUGAUGCUGAGUAUUCUGAGCAAUUUUGUUGAGUUUGUGGUUUUUAGUGGCAAAUAGGUUUUUGUCUCCCUGUGACAGAUGGAUGACUUAGUCUGUUAAUAGAGGAAGCUGUCACAGAGGAAUUCCAUGUAUAGACUUCAUUUACAUUUUUAAAGUGCAAGCUGUAUAGGUGAAAUUCAUCUUUUCAGCUCUUCAGGUAUUAAACUGUUUGGUGGAAGGGGCUUGGCUUCUUAGUCCUGACUCAGUUUUCUACAGAAACUUUCUGUGCCCAGCAGCUUAUGAACAAUUACUAGAAGCCCCUAAGAAAUUGCUCCAACAUUGGCCUCACUGUUUAUUACUUCAGUGGAAAAGUGUGGACUGCAAGCAUAAGCUGACCCAAAUGCCAGAUAGAGAAGUUCUCCAGGUUGGAACUGAAAUUUGAUAAUGAAAACUUGCACCAUAAUGAGCCAAGAUGCUCCAUGGAAUUUUAUAAACAGCAAAGGAGACAUCAACCCUGAGUGCAGUAUGGAAUGAGCUGGCUUUCAUUAACUCCUGAUAUUCUGCUGAUCCCCUACUUUGAGCAAUGUGUUAGCAGGGUCUGAGUUGGAUGACAAACAAAUGAGAAAUUUAAAAAUAGCAUAAUAAUGUAGCUGUGGAUCCCUGUUGUAUUGUAUUGCCAUCACUGUUAACAGGCCACAGGUUUAGUGCUGAGUUUGCAAGGUAUGAAAUGGGUUAGCAAAUGUAUAAAUGAACCCAAACAGGUCUUAGACUGAGACAAAAGCAUCACCAUGAACGUCACAGUGCUCCUGGGGAAAGGCUUCGGCACCACCACCAACAUGACCACUGAGCCCUAGGGAGCAGGGAAAGGGACCACAACAUCAGAAAAUGGGAUAAAACACAGGAAGAGCACUUUUAACUGUUUUAUUAUAGGCACUGGAAUUUUUUGUGUCUAGAAAAAGCUGCUUCUUUCUGUGAUAAUUACAUCUGGGCUGAUGUGGCUCUUGGAACAGGCUGCAAGUAUAGGAGGUAAGAGGAUCAAACACACCAGGAACAGUUUAGUCUCCUGCUGCCAGGGAGAAGACUCUGACAAAGCAGAGACAGAUACUUCCAUCUUCUGAUGAAAAAUGUCAUCUGUUUUGUUGUUGGUUUUGAUCCUGAUACCCUCCAUGCUGUGGAAAAGCUGCUUGAGGGCUUUUCCUGCCUGAGAUCAGUGACAUUUGAUCUGAAAUCUGUCUGGAGCCCAGACUGGGGAUAUGCAUGAGGCUGUUGGUAAAUACCAAUCUUCAACAUUUAAAUGGUGCUGUAGCUCCAACUGAGCUGACUGCAGCCACACCAUGCCUAUUAAAGAAACAAGAAAACACCCAAGUCCUGUCUCCAACCAUGCAUUUUAUAAGAAAAGCUCUUUUUCUUUGGUUUAAAUAUAAACAUAGCUACUCAAGUCAUAUUCUACUCCACUGCUGCCUCCAGGUUUAUCCAGAAUAAAAAAUUGCUACUGUGACAGUCUGACCAGACUGCUAAAAUAGAAACAUGGAAUUUCAUUCAGAUGAUCAUCAUUAUUUAAUCCAGCAAAUACUAAAAUUUAAUUUCACCAGAACAUAUUUUUCUUUGGAUUUGGUCCCAAAUAAUUUAAUUCCCUGGGUUUUGCAUUGUUUCAGUGGCAACCUACUCACACCAUAAUUAUGUUUAAGGGGGUCAGUGUCCAUGUGGGGAACAAAGCUCUCUCUCAUCAGUGGGUACCAUUCUUAGUAUCCAUUUGUCUCUUGGUUCCCUGAACCACUGUUGUGAAGCAUUUCCAGGGAGCUGAUAAUCACAAUUUAAACCAUUAUGUUUUCCACCAUUUAUAAGCGUGUCUGAGCCAGAAAUGAUUCUGUGGCUGUUGCUGCUGCAUCCUUCAGGGACAAAAUGUUCUAAAGAGCUAAUGUUGCUCUUUCAUUAAGAAACCUAUUCAGAACCACAGAGAGUGAUUUUGACAGUGCAAUUGGUAGUUGCUCUAGGGCAGGAGCUUGACAGGAGUCCUAUUUUAAGGUAAAUGAAUGUAUUCUGUUUAUUUAAAGAAACAGAGUCAGUUCUAGAUUUUGGCAUGCAUGCACCUGUGCAUCUUGUGCACUCUGCCUCUCCAGAUUGCAGAAAAUGAUGCUGCCUUGAUACAUGAAGAAAUGUUUGCUGCUGGGGAGCCCUGGCAUGAAGACUAGGAAAGAAAAAAAAAAAAAAAGAAAGAAAAAGAAAAAAUAAAGAAAAAUAAAAAGAAAAGGAAAGGAUAAAGGUUUCAAAGAAAAAUCAGAGAGAUUCCUACAAACCUAAGAUCAGUCAUUUAACCAUAUCUCAUGUUUUUGUAGCAUGAACACAUAGAAUCAUUUUGGUUGCAAAGGACCUCUAAGAUCAUCCAGUCCAGCCAUUAACCCAGCACUAGUGGUGUCAAGACCACCACUAAACCAUGUCCCCCAGGGCCACAUCUACACAUCUUAAAAUCCAGCUCAAAAUCUACACAGCUUUAAAUCUACCAUGCAGGGGAUGGUGACCAGCAGUUCCCUGGGCAGCCUUCCAAUGCCUGACCAGCCUUUCAGUGAAGAAAUUUUUCCUAAUAUCCAAUCUAAACCUCUCCUGGUGCAACUUGAGUCCAUUUGCUCUUGUCACCCAGGAGAAAAGACCAACUCCAUCCAUGUUUUGUUGGAUUUAGUUGUGGGUGGAGAGAGAAAGGCAUGAAAUGAAUAAGGGAAAUUGAGGUGAAGGUCACUGAGAUUCAAAGUGACAGAAGAGAUUAAGUCCUUGCAAAGAUGAACAGGGGUGUAGUGUCACAUCAUGGUUUUUCUGGUGGCAAAGCUGGUUUUCAAAAGUUCAUAUCCUUAGCUGCUGGGCAUUGUGUUAUAUAAACAACAUUACACUGGUCAUUGCACCACAGCUCAGAAAGUUCAGCCAGCACAGGCAAAGGUUAUAAACUGCAGAGGUGGAAAUGUGAACCAAGGUGGGAAUGGGCAGCACAUUUCCUUUUGUCUCCAUGGGCAGAACUGGAAAGAGCAGCAAUCUGAGAAGGAAGGGUGCUUAUGGGGCUGAGCUGUGGUCUGGGGAGCUGGCAGAAGCUGGUUUCUGUUCCUGACCCUGCUGCAUGACCCAUACAGCAUGAGAGAAAUAUUACUGACAGUAUUUCUUCAGAAGGGGGUAGUUAUGUCUCAUUAAAGUAAGAACAAUGGAAGAUGGUGUAAGAACACAGCAUUGUAAUCAGUCCCUCUCAUCUUUAUGAGUGUCACUGCUCAGGUAAUCGCAGACUUUCAGAGUUAGAUCUCCUGGUAGUGCUACCAAACACAUGCUUGUGUCUUAGCAAAAUGUUCUUUGUGAGGACUUUGGAGAUCAAAGAAGUCUGGGCUUGAUUGGAAACCAAUUAUCUACUGCUGUGUGGACCUUUGAAAACUAACAGGAUUUUUAUUUUGUUUGCACUUUGAUCCCCAAAAUGAGCAAUAAAAAGAUAAGGAAUAUGAGAAUAAAAGAGUAGAAGUACCGAGCAGAGUGGAAAGGGAAAGAAGAAUGUACCUACAGGUUAGUUGGAUAGAUUAAAAACCAAAAAUUUAAAAAUCAGGUUUCUGGAUUGGGACAUCCCAGCAAGCUACAGGCAUAAGCAAUAUAUCUUUCAGCUCAGUAUUUCUGUAAGUCAGAAAAACACCCAAACAGGGCUCCAAUAUGGAUUACCCAUGGAUGUCCGUGGGAAGAAUAUUUUUUGCUCCACAUGCAACCUGAAUUACAGUAUUACUUGUGCAGCUGAUGCUAUUCAAAGUAUCAUUUCUUUGCUGUCCCUUUAUUCUUAUUGCCUAAAUUCUUUAGCCUUUCUCUUACUCUUUUCCUUGUAUGGCUUCAUAUUCCAGGAAGAACCCAAUGCCUACAAGUGUGCUUUGCAGCUCCAGCUCUGUUGUCAUUUCCAGUGCUCUCUGCAGUCUGUGGGCCAAGGAAAGCAGGUGCAGAUCCAUCCCCUCCUGCAGCAUUUCACCCACUUCCACGGCCCCUUUACUUUAAUUUUCGUUUCACUGUCUGGGGUCAGUCCUUGUACAGGGACAAUUAACACUGAGCCUCUGAAAUCUGAUAGGGAUUUAAAGCAGUGGGUGAGUGGUUGCCACCUGGUGAGAGGAGGAGGAAGGAGGGGGAGGAUGAAUGAGCCGCCCUUUUCCUUUCUCAUCCGGCACACAUUAGUGGAUCAAUGACUGAAAUGGAUGAGGGUGCUGCUGAAGUGUCGGCACUGCAAUGAUGUAGCUGCUAUUAAUGGCUAGAGCUCCAGCCCGGAAAUUAUAGAUGAAGAAAUGGAAAAAAAAAAUAUUUCUGUGGGCUCUGAAUUGGUGAUUUGAGGAUUUUAAUUUAGUGCUCGCUUUCAUAUUUCAUAAAAAGGCUAGUGUGCACAUUUUCAGAAGUUCGCCUGUUAGUUAAGGAAGGAAUAAAGUCAAUAAACUGUAUUUGAUCUCAA